AGAUUGAACGCUGGCGGCAUGCCUAACACAUGCAAGUCGAACGGCAGCGCGGGGGCAACCCUGGCGGCGAGUGGCGGACGGGUGAGGAAUACAUGGGAAUCUACCCUGUCGGUGGGGGAUAACGUAGGGAAACUUACGCUAAUACCGCAUACGACCGAGAGGUGAAAGCGGCGGACCGCAAGGCGUCGCGCGACUGGAUGAGCCCAUCGUACCGAUUAGCUUAGGUUCGGGACGGGGUAAGACGCCCCAACCGAAGGGCCGACGGAGUCGGUAAGCCGUGGUCUGGAGAGGAUGAUCAGCCUACACUGGACUGAGACACGGUCAGACUCCGUACGGAGGCAG
rnacentral:rRNA from 1 species